rnacentral:pre_miRNA from 1 species
UAGGGGUCGUUUAAAAAUUGGUCCCUGUAUUCGCUAAUCCUUGCAAACUAGCCUUGCAAUCAUUAAUCAUUUAAAAUUUAGUCCUUUGACCAACUUAAUCACUGCCACGUCACUAAUUUGAUGAUGUGGCAAUCACUGCCAAACAUGAAAUUCCAAUUUUGCCCUUAAGAAGAGGACAAAAUAUUGAAAAAGGAUUGGAAAUCCUGGGGUAAAAUUGGAAUUUCAUGUGGCGUGGCAAUGAUUAAGUGGGGAGAUGGACGAAAUUUUAAAUGAUUAAACAAUGCAGGGGUAAAUUGCCAGGAUUAGCGAUUACAGGGACCAAUUUUUAAACGACCCCU